rnacentral:rRNA from 1 species
CCUACGGGGGGCUGCAGUAGGGAAUAUUGCUCAAUGGGGGGAACCCUGAAGCAGCAACGCCGCGUGGAGGAUGAAGGUUUUCGGAUUGGAAACUCCUUUUUUUAGAGAAGAUAAUGACGGUAUCUAACGAAUAAGCACCGGCUAACUACGUGCCAGCAGCCGCGGUAAUACGGAGGGGGCAAGCGUUACUCGGAAUCACUGGGCGUAAAGAGCGCGUAGGCGGGAUAGCAAGUCAGAUGUGAAAGACUAUGGCUUAACCGUAGAACUGCAUUUGAAACUGGUAUUCUAGAGUAUGGGAGAGGUAGGUGGAAUGCGUGGUGUAGGGGUGAAAUGCGUAGAUAUCAAGAGGAAUACUGAUUGCGAAGGCGGCCUGCUAGAACGUAACUGACGCUGAUGCGCGAAAGCGUGGGGAGCAAACAGGAUUAGAUACCCCUGUAGUC